AGAUUAUUUCAUUGCUUUUGGAGAAUGGAGCCGAUGUAAACUCCAGAAAUUACUGUGGGCAGGGUAUUCCAGUGCAACAAAGCAGCACAGACUGUGGGUAUUUCAUAAUGAGAUACAUGAAGGACAUCGUGGAGGAUAAGAACUUGGAGUUUUUCAGCAAGUGGGAGAAAAAAGGGAAAGCAGCAUAUACCCAGCAGCAUAUUGAUGAAGUCAGAAACGAGUGGGCAAAAUUUGUUGUUAAAACAUAUAUGUAAGCUUGUGGUUGGGUAUCGACUUAUUUUGGUAACCUUGAUUUUACAAGUUGUAUAGACAAUAUUAUUAUUACUUGCUAGAUUGAGGUUACUUUUGG